AGGACGAACGCUGGCGGCGUGCUUAACACAUGCAAGUCGAACGGUGACCUCCUCUUCGGAGGGGUGAUCAGUGGCGAACGGGUGAGUAACACGUGAGCAACCUGCCCUUGACUCUGGAACUAACCCCGGGAAAACCGAGGCUAAUACCGGAUACGACCUCUAGUGGCAUCACAUGAGGUGGUAAAGUUUUUCGGCAAGGAUGGGCUCGCGGCCUAUCAGCUAGUUGGUGGGUAAUGGCCUACAAGGCGACAACGGGUGCC
rnacentral:rRNA from 1 species